GGUUCCGGCUGCGGGAACUGUGGGCAGAAGGAACAUUCCAAGGGCAGGAGCAGGGUGAGGAGCCUCUGACUGCCUGGGUCCAGCUGGAGGGUCAACUGUGGUCACAGCCUCUCGAUGACUGCCUCCAACAGCAGGUGAAAUAUGGUAUUUGAAGUGCAACAAAAUGACUAAGGUGGCUAAAGAGAACAAUACGUGUUAAUAAGAAUGAAGCUGGAUGGCGAGGAAAAUCAGCCAUGACAUACACUUGGAAAGGGAAGAAACAUCAGUGUGGAACCUGAAAAUGAUAGAUUUAAUCUGCCUGGAGGCGCGCAGGAGGGAACUGCAAAGUGAAACCUUGGCUUCUCACUUUGAAAAUGCAUUUGAAUUCAACGUGUACCUACACAGUAAAGUUGUGACUUUUGCCUACGACCAUCCGGUUCCACCACAGGACAGCCUCGGGCAGGGGCAUCUCUAGGUGAACGUCCUGGGAACAAACCUCUUCCUGACCUCCCUGAGUCUUAUGUGUACAACAUCUCACAGGGGUGCUGUAACUUCAGUGAGCCACACCAGGACUUGAAGACUUAGGAGUUCUCAAAGAGAAAUGAAUGGUUUGGCAGAGGAUUCUGGAUGAAGAAGCUUAUCCACCUGCACAGAAUCUCAG